GGGCCGGGUCCUGCUGCGGUGUGUGCAGCGUCCCCACACAACCCAGGGUGAGGUCUGCGUUGAGGCCAUACGGCCAAACGCUCACGAAACAGACUCCCAAGGGUCAAAAUGAGUCGUAAUAUCCGAACGGGACCCAUCUUUGCCCUCUGAGGAAAGCUGGUCCGAGGCUUUGGGUUGACAGACAUGAGCCAAACCUGGGAGGAUGGUGGAUACCCUUAGUGCCUUCAAAAACUGCUUCUGAAAAACAAGUAGAUUUGCAGAAGUACUUCCUUGGCAUUCGCGUCAGACAUGGAAGGGAUCGCCCCGGCAGGAAAAAAAAAAAAGUGGGGAGGACCUCGACUUUGCAGUCCUCCCCACCCCCCACCUGUAUAAGCUUCAGGCUCCACAAAACCUGGAUCUUCCGUCCGAUAUUUUGGGGAGAAAGUUUCCACCUUUCUCACCAAACUCCUCAAUUCAUGUCUCUCUAAGGAGGAGUGACUUACUGUCAUCUGAGGUCUAGUCUCUCUCUGGCCCUCUCACUCAGAUCUGUCUGCUCACAAUGGAAAGCUACUGGGGCAAGCCCUGGAAGGACAGAGUGAAGGAGGUAGUAGUUGCUGCCUUUGACAACAUUCUCCAAAACUGGCACCUUUUCAGCAAAUUUUAAAGCCACUGUGAUUAAAUGAGGGCUGUGAAGACUCUGGAGAAAGCAUCAUGAAAGGAAAACUCUGGGAGAUAUGGAGAGAAGGGAAUGGGUCUUUUUUUUUCCUUUCUUUUUAAAUUUGUUUUUAUUGAGAUAUAUUCACAUACCAUGCAGUCAUACAAAGCAUACAUUCAGUUGUUCAG